AUGGCCAGGGGGGAUUCCUUCUCGAUCAGCCUGGAUAUUGUGUUGGAGCAUGAUGCGGUCGCUCCAAGUGAAAAUGGCGUGCAAGAGACUGGACAACAAGCACAGGUUACAGAGCUAACUGGUCAGAUGGCUGCCAUGGACCUUCCCACUAAUGCUGCUGGUGCACAAUCUUUUGCUCAGGCGAACAGUAGGAUGCGGAGCGUCAUGUCAGCACUUAGAAGGAGAUUUGGCAACCCUCCACCAGCGUGA
rnacentral:rRNA from 1 species